rnacentral:tRNA from 1 species
AAUUCAUAAGUGUUUGACACUUAAACUUUUGAAGUUUAAUUAUAGUUCAUAAUAAGCUA